GUGAAUCAUCGAAUCUUUGAACGCACCUUGCGCUCCUUGGUAUUCCUCGGAGCAUGCCUGUUUGAGUAUCAUGAAAUUCUCAAAGCAAGUCUUUUGUUAAUUCAAUCGGCUUUGUUUUGGACUUGGGGGUUUGCAGAUUCACGUCUGCUCCUCUUAAAUGCAUUAGCUGGAUCUCCAUGAACUUGGUUCCACUCGGCGUGAUAAGUAUCAUUCGCUGAGGACACCUGUAAAAAGGUGGCCAGGGUCGAGGAUGAGCCGCUUCUAACGGUCCAUUUAAUUGGACAGUUAAAUUUAUGAUCUGAUCUCAAAUCAGGUAGGACUACCCGCUGAACUUAAGCAUAUCAAUAAGCGGAGGAAAAGA
rnacentral:rRNA from 1 species